rnacentral:rRNA from 1 species
CCUACGGGAGGCUGCAGUGGGGGAUAUUGCACAAUGGGGGGAACCCUGAUGUAGCGACGCCGCGUGGGCGAAGAAGCGCCUCGUCGUGUAAAGCUCUGUCAGCAGGGAAGAAAAUGACGGUACCUGAAGAAGAAGCCCCGGCUAACUACGUGCCAGCAGCCGCGGUAAUACGUAGGGGGCAAGCGUUAUCCGGAUUUACUGGGUGUAAAGGGGGCGUAGACGGCGGUGCAAGUCUGGAGUGAAAGGCGGGGGCCCAACCCCGGGACUGCUCUUGAAACUGCGUGGCUGGAGUGCAGGAGGGGCAGGUGGAAUUCCUGGUGUAGCGGUGAAAUGCGUAGAUAUCAGGAGGAACACCAGUGGCGAAGGCGGCUUACUGGACUGCAACUGACGUUGAGGCCCGAAAGCGUGGGGAGCAAACAGGAUUAGAUACCCUUGUAGUC